AGCUCCAAUAGCGUAUAUUAAAGUUGCUGCAGUUAAAAAGCUCGUAGUUGGAUUUGUGGCGCGGUCGUCCGGCGGGGCUUCCGGUUUCAUAGUAUCCCGGGGCCGUUUGUCUGGGUUCUUGGCCGCCCCAUUCUUCGGUUGCGUGUCGCUGGCAUUAGGUUGUCGGCUUCUUCGCGCCGAUCGUUUACUGUGAAAAAAUUAGAGUGUUCAAAGCAGGCUUAGGCCGUUGGAUACAUUAGCAUGGAAUAAUGAGAUAGGGCCACGGCGGUCUAUUUUGUUGGUUUCUAGUACUGAAGUAAUGAUUGAUAGGGAUAGUUGGGGGUGCUAGUAUUCAGCGGCCAGAGGUGAAAUUCUUGGAUUCGCUGAAGACUAACUUAUGCGAAAGCAUUCACCAAGGAUG
rnacentral:rRNA from 1 species